rnacentral:rRNA from 1 species
AGUGAACGCUGGCGGUAGGCCUAACACAUGCAAGUCGAACGGCAGCACAGUAAGAGCUUGCUCUUACGGGUGGCGAGUGGCGGACGGGUGAGGAAUACAUCGGAAUCUACUUUUUCGUGGGGGAUAACGUAGGGAAACUUACGCUAAUACCGCAUACGACCUACGGGUGAAAGCAGGGGAUCUUCGGACCUUGUGCGAUUGAAUGAGCCGAUGUCGGAUUAGCUAGUUGACGGGGUAAAGGCCCACCAAGGCGACGAUCCGUAGCUGGUCUGAGAGGAUGAUCAGCCACACUGGAACUGAGACACGGUCCAGACUCCUACGGGAGGCAGCAGUGGGGAAUAUUGGACAAUGGGCGCAAGCCUGAUCCAGCCAUACCGCGUGGGUGAAGAAGGCCUUCGGGUUGUAAAGCCCUUUUGUUGGGAAAGAAAAGCAGCAGGUGAAUACCCCGCUGUUCUGACGGUACCCAAAGAAUAAGCACCGGCUAACUUCGUG